rnacentral:rRNA from 1 species
ACGCUAGCUAUAGGCUUAACACAUGCAAGUCGAGGGGAAACGGCAUUAUGUGCUUGCACAUUUUGGACGUCGACCGGCGCACGGGUGAGUAUCGCGUAUCCAACCUGCCCUUUACUUGGGGAUACCCCGUUGAAAGACGGCCUAAUACCCGAUGUAAUUCAUUGAUGGCAUCAGAUAUGAAUAAAAGAUUUAUCGGUAAAGGAUGGGGAUGCGUCUGAUUAGCUUGUUGGUGAGGUAACGGCUCACCAAGGCAACGAUCAGUAGGGGUUCUGAGAGGAAGGUCCCCCACAUUGGAACUGAGACACGGUCCAAACUCCUACGGGAGGCAGCAGUGAGGAAUAUUGGUCAAUGGGCGCAAGCCUGAACCAGCCAAGUAGCGUGCAGGAAGACGGCCCUAUGGGUUGUAAACUGCUUUUAUACGAGAAUAAUUUGAUGCACGUGUGCGUUAUUGCAUGUAUCGUAUGAAUAAGGACCGGCUAAUUCCGUGCCAGCAGCCGCGGUAAUACGGAAGGUCCAGGCGUUAUCCGGAUUUAUUGGGUUUAAAGGGAGUGUAGGCGGUUUGUUAAGCGUGUUAUGAAAUUUAGGUGCUCAACAUUUAACUUGCAGCGCGAACUGUCAGACUUGAGUACACGCAACGUAUGCGGAAUUCAUGGUGUAGCGGUGAAAUGCUUAGAUAUCAUGAAGAACUCCGAUUGCGAAGGCAGCAUACGGGAGUGUAACUGACGCUUAAGCUCGAAGGUGCGGGUAUCGAACAGGAUUAGAUACCCUGGUAGUCCGCACAGUAAACGAUGGAUGCCCGCUGUUAGCGCCUGGCGUUAGCGGCUAAGCGAAAGCAUUAAGCAUCCCACCUGGGGAGUACGCCGGCAACGGUGAAACUCAAAGGAAUUGACGGGGGCCCGCACAAGCGGA